CGUCCAUUAGCUCAGUGGUAGAGCGUUGUACUUAUGAGAAACCUUAAUUUUCCUUAGCCAUGCAACGGCCGCCAGUUCGACCCUGGCAUGGACGA